UAUUCACAAAGCUUUCUUACAUGUAUCAACUCUUGCUCCAUUAGAUUACUGCUUGCUGUGUAAACAUUUGUUUUUCCUCAUCUAGCUAGUGGUUGUGUUAAGCUUUAUAUGAUCGUGGUUUUAGGUAGUAAUGAAAGUCCAAUUUUCUUUUCCUGAAUUCUCCGGACUUCCGUAAUAAUUCUCUAGAAAAUGAGAUUCGAUGAGAUAGUAAUGGUACAAGAUCUUGGUCGAUGAGCUUCCAAUCACUUGCUUAUGUGCCUAGACGACCUAUAGUAUAAGUGACGGUCAUGAAGGAAAUAACAUCCAAAUAUGCAGGCAACAAGAAACCCUUUUAGUACAUGCUUAAGAAACUCUUUCUUGUAAUAUGUUGAAUAAUGUGAUGAAUGCCAUUUGUAUUGUUCCUCAUCAGUUACUAGUUACUCAAACGUACGUAGACAUAUUUUAAGUUAAAGUCACACCCUAUGAUCUUUUACUUUUAAGGCAAAACUUUAUUUGAAAACAACUUUAUCUGUCAGGAUGUCAAAUUCCCAGAAACAUCCGUUCUGCAAUGUAUUCCCAGCAUUCGUUCGGUUAAUUUUGCUGAUAUUGGGCCACGAAGGUACAUGGAGGAUGAGCACAUAAGAAUAGAUGAUCUAUCUGCACACUUCUGUUCACUCUUUAGUUCUCCCAAGCCAAGUGCAUUCUAUGGGGUAAGUGAUUUUCUCGUCCUAUAGUUGUUUUAGUCCUAUAUUACAGUGGUCCGAUCAUUUUCUCAUUGGUUCCUUUUUGCAUCUUACGGGUGUUUGAUGACCAUGGAGGGCCUGAGGCAGCAACCUAUGUUAGAAAAAAUGCAAUCAGAUUCUUUUUUGAAGAUGCUAAUUUCCCAGAAACUUCUGAAGUUGAUGAUGCUUUUCGAUUAGAUGUUGAAAAUUGUCUAAAGAAAGGAUUUCUUCUGGCGGACAUGGCCUUGGCUGAUGACAGUAGUGUGAACACUUCUUCUAGAACAACCGCUUUGACAGUUCUUGUACUUGGAAGACCGUUCAUUUCUCUUCUAUCUCAAUAUAACACAUGUUGAGAGGUUAUAUGAAGUUGAGAGAGGUUGACAGAAGUUAAGGAUUUGAAUACAAGUUCAAAUUAUUCCUUCCUAUCCAUAUUUAGUAUCUUUAGGGUCGGGAGAGCCCACAUGGGCAACCCAUGACCUGUUUUCCAACAGCUUGAAACUAGCCAAAAUUUCAUCAAAUUGUUCUACCAGAGAAUGAUGAAUUCCUCAUAACGGGGAGCGAUGGGAUAUGGGACGUGAAAUCUAGUCAACAAGCAGUUAGCCUCGUGAGUCGUGGACUGAGACGGCAUGACGACCCUGAGCAAUGUGCCAAGGACAUUGUGAUGAAGGCCAUGCGGCGCAACACUUUUGACAAUCUCAUAGUCAUCAUAGUUUGUUUCACUUCCCUCGAUCAUGCAGAACCAUCACCAUCACCAGCACGCCAACGAAAUCUAAGGUGUUGUGGCCUGUCGGCUGAGGAGGAUUCUCCUCUACGGGAACGGUAACCACUGACUUUGUAGUUGACUUUUUAUUGGAGAUGCCCACUACUUUGAGAAGGCAGGAAGGCUGUUAUCUAUACAUAAGAAUUGGUUGGCCGGUGGUGAAUUGACUGUAGUAUUCCAUUUUGAGACAACUGGAAUUGUUGUAGCCAAUUGUCAAGUUUGAAGGCUCUUGCUUUCAUAUUCACUCACUAUUGAUUUGUGUAUAUAUUGACUAAAAUGUUUGGUAAAUAUAUUCUUGCUAUAUCA